UUCCUGUGUCUUGAUAAAUUUUUUUUUAUUCUCCUAUUCUAGAUCCAAGUCACUUUCUGAUACUGAGAGUAAACAAGGGGAGAGACCUUAUAGCCAUUUGAAUAUGUUCAGCCAUGAAGUGAAACAGACUCACUGAAGUCUGAGUCCUGAGAGACAGUGACCCA